AGUGAACGCUGGCGGUAGGCCUAACACAUGCAAGUCGAACGGCAGCACAGUAAGAGCUUGCUCUUACGGGUGGCGAGUGGCGGACGGGUGAGGAAUACAUCGGAAUCUACUUUUUCGUGGGGGAUAACGUAGGGAAACUUACGCUAAUACCGCAUACGACCUACGGGUGAAAGCAGUGGAUCUUCGGACCUUGCGCGAUUGAAUGAGCCGAGGUCGGAUUAGCUAGUUGGCGGGGUAAAGGCCCACCAAGGCGACGAUCCGUAGCUGGUCUGAGAGGAUGAUCAGCCACACUGGAACUGAGACACGGUCCAGACUCCUACGGGAGGCAGCAGUGGGGAAUAUUGGACAAUGGGCGCAAGCCUGACCCAGCAACACCGCGUGGGUGAAGAAGGCCUUCGGGUUGUAAAGCCCUGUUGUUGGGAAAGAAAAGCAGCAUGUGAAUACCCCGAUGUUCUGACGGUACCCAAAGAAUAAGCACCGGCUAACUUCGUG
rnacentral:rRNA from 1 species